rnacentral:rRNA from 1 species
GACGAACGCUGGCGGCGUGCCUAAUACAUGCAAGUCGAACGCUGAAGGAGGAGCUUGCUUCUCUGGAUGAGUUGCGAACGGGUGAGUAACGCGUAGGUAACCUGCCUGGUAGCGGGGGAUAACUAUUGGAAACGAUAGCUAAUACCGCAUAAUAGUAGAUGUUGCAUGACAUUUGCUUAAAAGGUGCAAUUGCAUCACUACCAGAUGGACCUGCGUUGUAUUAGCUAGGUGGUGGGGUAACGGCUCACCAAGGCGACGUUACAUAGCCGACCAGAGAGGGGGAGAGGCGUAGCUGGGACGGGGACAUGGCCAAGCAGACUGCGGGAGGCAGCAGGAGGGGAUCUUUGGCAAAGGCAGGAAGGCGGACUGAGCAACGCCGCGUGAGUGAAGAAUGGUGUCGGGUCGUGAAGAUCAGGUGUAAGAGAAGAAUGAGUGUGAGAGUGGAAAGUUCACAUUGUGACGGUAACUUAACAGAAAGGGACGGCUAACUACGUG